AUUUGCAUAAGUACUUCUUCCUUUCAGUGUUACUGCCCUUAAGAGUACUAUAAGAAGGUCUUUCUCUGGACUGUGUCAUGAUCCACACAAACUCAGGGAAAGACCGAAGAUGGUGUCCAUACCUCAACUCCUGGGACUUCUGUUUUUCUGGAUUUCAGCCUCCCGAGGUGACAUUGUGCUGACUCAGUCUCCAGCCACCUUGUCUGUGACUCCAGGAGAGAGAGUCAGUCUUUCCUGCAAGGCCAGCCAGAGUAUUAGCAACUACCUACACUGGUAUCAACAAAAAUCACAUGAGUCUCCAAGGCUUCUCAUCAAGUAUGCUUCCCAGUCCAUCUCUGGUAUCCCCUCCAGGUUCAGUGGCAGUGGGUCAGGGACAGAUUUCACUCUCAGUAUCAGCAGUGUGGAGCCGGAAGAUGUUGGAAUUUAUUACUGUCAACAGAGUAACAGUUGGCCUCCCACAGUGAUGCAGACCAUAGCAAAAACCACCAGGAAAGCAGAAGUGUCAGUCUGUGAUACUUCAGUUGUUUCUGGUGGUGCUUCAAUGUUGAAAAUGUUCCACAGAUGCAGCCAGAUGUGUGUUUACAGAACUAAGUGA